rnacentral:lncRNA from 1 species
GUGAUCCGAUAGAGUAUCGUGUCAACCAGACAGAUACUAUGAUUUCUUAGUCCAGGAUGGUGAUCCUGUUGAAUUUGAUAGGAACAAUGAGGAUCCAAUCAUCUAUAUGGAUGCAAUGAAGAGGUCUAACUCUGAGAAAUAGCUUAAAGUCAUGAAAUUCAAAAUGGAGUCCAUGAAGGUCAACAGUGUGUAGAUACUUGUUGAUCCACUCAAAGGGAUAAAAUUCAUAGGAUGUAAGUAGAUCUUCAAAAGAAAAAAGGGGCAC